rnacentral:ribozyme from 1 species
GUUUUUUUUUUUUUUUUUUUCAAGCCAAGAUAAUUUUCUUCAUCGGAGAAAUUUCGAGCAAACAAAAACAAUGAGGUCAUUGAGAGGCAAAAGUCGGUAGCCAAGAAAUCAUAAAUUUUGGUUUUUGAUUCU